GACCGAGAUGCUGCUGUGUGGAGAGGAUACGUCGGUGGUUGGCCAUGGCCUUCUUCGUCAAGAUUUCGGCGCCGUGCUCGCUUGCCGGCCAUGGCACCACCAGCAGUAGCAGUGGCAGCAGCAGGUCAAAGAGGGGAUUGUUGCUUCCAGUUGGGGCUGGGGCUGGGGCUGGGGCCUACGGCGGCAGGCAGUACUCGGACGUGGUCCCGGUGCCAGCGCUAUCGCAGGCGCAGGCGAGCUCUAGCGGUGGUCGGCUGCGCAUCUUCUCCGGCACGGCGAACCCGAGGCUGGCGCAGGAGGUGGCGUGCUACCUGGGGAUGGAGCUGGGGAGGGUGAAGAUCAAGCGGUUCGCGGACGGGGAGCUGUACGUGCAGCUGCAGGAGAGCGUGCGUGGGUGCGACGUGUUCCUGGUGCAGCCCACCUGCCCGCCGGCAAACGAGAACCUGAUGGAGCUCCUCAUCAUGAUCGACGCAUGCCGCCGCGCCUCCGCCAAGACCAUCACCGCCGUCGUGCCCUACUUCGGGUACGCCCGCGCCGACCGCAAGAUGCGCGGCGGCCGGGAGUCGAUCGCCGCCAAGCUGGUGGCCAACCUCAUCACGGAGGCCGGCGCCCAACGCGUGCUGGCCUGCGAACUUCAAUUGGGGGCAGUCCAUCGGCUACUUCGACAUCCCCGUGGACCAUGUGUACGGGCAGCCGGUGAUCCUGGACUACCUGGCCAGCAAGACCAUCUGCCCCGACGAGGUGGUGGUGGUGUCCCCGGACGUGGGUGGCGUCGCCCGGGCCCGCACCUUCGCCAAGAAGCUGUCGGACGCGCCGCUGGCCAUCGUGGACAAGCGGCGGCAGGGGCACAACCAGUCGGAGGUGGUGCACCUCAUCGGCGACGUCAGGGGGAAGGUGGCGGUGAUGGUGGACGACAUGAUCGACACUGCGGGGACGGUGUCCCAGGGAGCGGAGCUGCUGCACAGGGAGGGCGCCAGGGCCGUCUACGCCUGCAGCACCCACGCCGUGCUCAGCCCGCCCGCCGUCGACAGGCUCUCCAGCGGCCUCUUCCAGGAGGUGAUCGUCACCAACACCGUCCCCGUGCUUCACCACCGGACCUUCCCCCAGCUCACCGUCCUCUCCGUCGCCAAUCUCCUCGGCGAGACCAUCUGGCGCGUUCACGACGACUGCUCUGUCAGUAGCAUCUUCCAGUGACCAUUCAUAUACAUAUACACCACGUACUCCAUUAACUCAAUUAAUUUAGUACAUUCCAAGCAUACAUCAUGAUAUAUACUCUCCUAGUAGCUUGAGAAACAUUUGUACAUACAUAACGCAUGGCAGCUCUAGCUAGCCUGCAUCCAGUUCUUCAGCAAGUUUUAUGGCGCCGCCAGCUGCACCAUCGGCUCUUGA